AUAUGGGAAUAUCUAAAGUCGUGGAGCUGCUUUCCAAAGUGCUGGAAGGAAAUAAAUUGAUGAAAGCGGAAAUUACCAACCUGGGGAGUGAAGUGAGGGCGCUUAGGAGAGAGAUGGUGAGGCCGGUAGCACCAGAAGCUGCCGCUUCGUCCAUCAAGCUGCCUCUGAGGACAAUGGAGGAGUUUCAAUUAGCAGAGGCUGUUAUGAGAGAAACCCCCUGCGAAAAACAAAAGAUGAUCUUAACAUUCAGUCUAAUUGGAGGGCACACUGCAGAAGAGGCCGUAAGAAGGAUGUUGCAGAGUGGCCUAACAAAUAACCUGGCGUGUCGCUUCAACUGGGCAGGGAAAGGCUUCAAGGAAGCCUUUAAAAGCACUGUCCUUAGUGAUGUACUGUUCGCUGCACUCCAAAAACAGCUGCCAGGGACCACCCAUAUUGUUUUUUCAGGGACACUUAAGAAGUGGCUUAAAUAUGCACCAGAGAGAGAGGGAGGUGGAGGGAGGCGAACAAAUGAACGCGAUCAGGUAGGCCUAUGUACGCUUGUUCCACACACCAUGCGUCCUUCGACGGAUGAGCGUCGCGAGUGCGACUCUGAACCAUGGACAGGUCUGAACGGACGGACCCAAAAUGCAUUUCGAGAGCGCAAUGAUAUGGAGCCAGUUUCCUGCCAUAAUUCCAACCUGAAAAAAAAAGUUUCAAAGGGUUAUACACUAAAAUUCAACCAUCUGUAAACAUGAUUUUGUGUUCUAUUUUAUCUUCAUC
rnacentral:lncRNA from 1 species